rnacentral:rRNA from 1 species
UCUNCCGCAAUGGACGAAAGUCUGACGGAGCNACGCCGCGUGAGUGAUGAAGGUUUUCGGAUCGUAAAGCUCUGUUGUUAGGGAAGAACAAGUGCCGUUCAAAUAGGGCGGCACCUGGACGGUACCUAACCAGAAAGCCCAGGUAAACUACGUGCCAGCAGCCGCGGUAAUACGUAGGUGGCAAGCGUUGUCCGGAAUUAUUGGGCGUAAAGGGCUCGCAGGCGGUUUCUUAAGUCUGAUGUGAAAGCCCCCGGCUCAACCGGGGAGGGUCAUUGGAAACUGGGGAACUUGAGUGCAGAAGAGGAGAGUGGAAUUCCACGUGUAGCGGUGAAACGCGUAGAGAUGUGGAGGAACACCAGUGGCGAAGGCGACUCUCUGGUCUGUAACUGACGCUGAGGAGCGAAAGCGUGGGGAGCGAACAG